rnacentral:lncRNA from 1 species
GGAUAGGACGGGGAAAGGGAUAUAUAGGAAAGUCAACGGGUUGGGUUAGCGACGAAUUUUAAAAAUUCGAAUUCAAAUCUGACUAUCAAAUUCAAAUCCGACUAAUUUUAAAAACUCAUAUCCAUAUUUGAACCUGACCAAAAAUUCGAAACCCGAACCCGAAUCUAAAUCCGCAUACCCGAAUCCGGAAUAAUUAUUUCUCUUUAUAAUAUUUCAAAAUAUAUUACAUUAAAUCUAAAUUUUUAAAAUACAAAUUUAAAUAUAAUAUCAAAACUUUNGAGAGAGAGAGUAGAGCUACUAUGCUAUCGAAAGCAUAAAGUGGUUGGUGCUUCCGAUUUUUUACCCCUUAGAUCAACCCUAUUGCUCAUUUCUAACCAUUGGAUUAAUAUUAUUAACAUAGUUAGUUAAUUCGGAUUCGGCAAAAAUUCGGUACGGAUAUUAUACGCAUAAAAUUCGUUUUCUAAUUUUUAAAUUCGUUUAAAAAUUCGGCUUAAAAAACGGAUUUAAUAUAAAAUAUAAAAUAUAAGAUAAUUUAUAUUUAAAAAUAAAAAUUAUAAUUUUUUAUUCAUAUUUUCAAUAAUUCGGCGAUAAUUCACGAAUAAUUCGCGAAUAAUUCGGCUGGCCCAAAAAUUCGCGAAUAAUUCUCUUUAUUUGGGAAAAAUUCGUAAACGGACCGUUUAAUUCGGAUUUUUAAUAAUUCGCGAAUAAUUUGCAGAUUUACUAACUAGAUUAUUAACCAAUAGGGAUUACUCAACCCUGGGGGGACCACUCAAUCCUAAGGGGAUCGCUAUCAUCCUAACCGUAGAAUUUUUGAUCCAAUGGCUAAAAAAUUGGAAGCACUAACUAUUUUAUACUUCCGAUAGCAUAGUAG